GCAGAAGCUGCACCGAUCCGUCUGUCAAUCUCCCGUUCCAUCCUUCCCUCACUCGUGAACAGGACCCCUAGAUACUUAAACUCCUCCACUUGAGGCAGGCACUCUCCACCAACCUGAAGUGGGCAAGCCACCCUUUUCCGACUGAGGACCAUGGCCUCGGAUUUGGAGGUACUGAUUCUCAUUCCCACCGCUUCACACUCGGCUGCAAACCAUCCCAGUGCAUGCUGAAGGUCCUGGUUUGAAGGGGCCAACACGACAACAUCAUCCGCAAAGAGCAGAGAUGAAAUCGUGUGGUCCCCAAACCUGACACCCUCCGGCCCCUGGCUGCGCCUAGAAAUUCUGUCCAUAAAAAUUAUGAACAGAACCGGCGACAAAGGGCAGACCUGCCGGAGUCCAACAUGCACUGGGAACAAGUCUGACUUACUGCCGGCAAUGCGGACCAAGCUCCUGCUUCGGUUGUACAGGGACCUGACAGCCCUUAGUAAAGGACCCAGGACCCCAUAUUCCCGAAGCACUCUCCACAGGAUGCCACGAGGGACACAGCCAAAUGCCUUCUCCAAAUCCACAAAACACAUGUGGAUUGGUUGGGCAAACUCCCAUGAACCCUCCAACACCCUGUAGAGGGUAUAGAGCUGGUCCAGUGUUCCACGGCCCGGACGAAAACCACACUGUUCCUCCUGAAUCCGAGGUUCUACUAUGGGCCGUAUUCUCCUCUCCAGAACCCUGGCAUAGACUUUCCCGGGGAGGCUGAGAAGUGUGAUCCCCCUAUAGUUGGAACACACCCUCCGGUCCCCCUUCUUAAAAAGAGGGACCACCAUCCCGGUCUGCCAUCCCAAAGGCACUGUCCCCAACCGCCACGCGAUGUUGCACAGGCGUGUCAACCAAGACAGCCCCACAACAUCCAGAGACUUGAGGUACUCAGGGCGGAUCUCAUCCACCCCUGGUGCCUUGCCACCGAGGAGUUUCUUGACCACCUCAGUGACUUCAGCCCGGGUGAUGGACGAGUCCACCUCUGAGCCCUCAUCCUCUGCUUCCUCAAUGGAAGACGUGACGGCGGGAUUGGACACUCCUUGAGAGAGGAUGGACUCUUUUUUUACUAUUUACUAUUUUUGAGUAGUCUGCAAGCGUUGCUUUGCCACUGUUGUCUACAUGUUAGAAGUGUUCCCACUUCUAACGUCAUUCAGACCUAAACCAUGACCCACAAACUGCAGUACACACCAAACCGUGGGCCCACUGUCCCAUUGCAUCCAUCAUUUCCAUAUAACUACGUAACAUUGAAUGUAAGUUGGUCAAUUCAUAGCGUUUUAAAUAAGAUUACCAUUUUGAACAAUAUAGGUGCUGCCCUGAAAGCCUACCCAAAAGCCACCUACCUAGAGGUAGAUGAAAAGAUUGCAGACUUCAAGCAUGCACCUUUUCGGCUGAAGAGUAAGAGAAAGGUAUUACAAGGAGCAGAUGGAGAAAGAUGUGGAGGAGGAGGGCACAUAUGAAGAACCAGCACCUGAAUAAAUUAGACUUUUUUUUAGUAAUACCAACUUUAGUGUGGUAGGAUACUUUAGGUAUUGUUUAAAUAAAUUGUUUAAGCAGUACCAACAAGUUAAAUGAUUCAAGUCUUGAGGUCAGGGGAGGUUCCAAUACAUUGUAUACCAAACCAUACAUGCAUAGGACUCCAAAUCAGUAGCUAUAGUUUAACAUCCUUUCUCAUACCAUUUCUAGACAUUUGUUAUAACAUGAUUGGUUCAAAAUAUUUUGUAUACUCCGAUGAUUGUGACACCGAAAGAGAAAAAGAUUAGGAAUUUCCAUCUUCGGAGGACUGCCUUUUAGUAUGUUAAGCAUUUAGCAUUUUUCUCUGCUUAUCUCUAAGAUUAGUUUUAGGUCUACAGUUAAAGUAUAUUUUAACAUGUAAAGAUAUAUACAUGUAAAGACAGAUGUGGCUUGUAAUAUAAAGACUGAGUUUGAGAUGUUUGAUGCUUGUUUCAUUAACUUAAAAACCAAUCUUCAGGUAAUAAUAAUGUUCUGAAGACAGCCUUUAUACAGUUUUGUUUUGUUGUAUAUAUGUUGAUAUAUCUUUUUUUAUUAACCAAAUGGGUCACUUUAAUUGGCUUUCCAUUGAGAGGAUCAUUUGUGUUGUUUUGCACUAGAAGUACCAGUAACUUUUCUAAUCCUGAACAGGCUAUGACAUUCAGUACCUUUGUAAAACCUUAAAGGAAUGUUACAAAUGUCUCAGUUAUAUUUCUUGUACUUCAUGAAAACGUUAUUUUAGGUAAUCUUGAUAACAUUACUUACAGUACCAAUUGGGGAUGUAAUCGUGUGUAUGUUCAGGCAACUAUUAUAAUGUUACUAAAUAAACGUCAUUAGGACUUUCAGAGGCCCCCACAUUUCUGCGUCCUGAAUAGACUUGGGACAUAACUUACGUCAGCUGACACCACAGGUACAUACAGACGACGUUUCACAAGUACGUAACCAUGACUUUGUGGAGACUACAAAACCGUUGAGGUCACGUCCUGGAACGUAAUUUUAUUAGCUGGGACGUUGAGGUCACAUCGAGGAACGUAAUUAGCAACAUCAUUUUAAGUAAUCCUAAUAACAUUACUUACAGUACCAAUAGGGAACGUAAUCAUGUGCACGUUCAGGCAACUUUAUAACGUUACUAAAUAACGUCAUUAGGCCUUUCAGAGGCCCCCCACAUUUCUACAUCCUGAA
ensembl:lncRNA